GGUGAGGUGGCUGAGCUAGGCGGUAAGCUGUAAACUUAUUUACGAAUUUUUUUCUCUUGCC
rnacentral:tRNA from 1 species